UCCCAGUAAUACCACAAAUCCCAUUUCUAAUCCGAAGGAUCCAACAAGCAACAACUCCCCCUUCUCACCUCUAUCCUCGACUACUUGCUCGCAUCCGCCGCCAUUCUGACUCCACUCUUCCUCCUUGCUCUCUCCAGGUCCCCUUCUUCACUGAUCUUCUGGCAUCUCGAUUCAACUUUCGGCGGGAAGAAGUCAUGGCUUCCACAUUGCCAGGAAUCAAGUCGCCAAAGGCGAUACUCCCGGCCUCAAGCAUUGCCGUUCUUCUGGGGGCAGUUGUUUCACCCACUGUAGUCUUGAACAAAGAGGAGCAGUUGUGAAGAAAUUGGAAUUCAAGAGGGCGAAAAGGAUGUGUUGUAAAGUGGACGAGCUCUAAAUAAAGAAGCAACCAAAAUGGCAUAUGGGUCAUGCUGAAGGAGGAAAAGAACAACAGAUUCAUUUUCUAAUUUGACAUUGGUGAGUCAUGCACUUGGAGUUGGAGCACCAACCCAUUUUGGUGAAGAGAGCAGAAUAUAGAAAAGCCUAAUUAAUAUGGAAGAAUGUGCUCUUCAAUCAAUAAUUGAUGCGACAAUAUAUUUUAAAGCCACCGAACCCAAAAAUUUGUAGGUCUUUACGUUAAUCACUUUACAGUAUAAUCCUCAUGAACCAAGGGCUCUUCACUUCAGCAAGUUGUCAAUAUUCAAAUUCUUGACGCUGAUUUUUCUCCAAGAAAGAAUGCCUGGAUAUACACUAACUACAUUUCUUCCUGUUGCCGCCAAACUCUAGUGGCUUUGCGUUGGGAGGUGGGUU